GGUCCCUUGAUAGGAAACAAAAACCAUGCCAUUGAACUUUUAAGCAAUUUCACCCCCCAAAAAAUCUUAGGCACCCAAAAAAAACCUCAGCUGAAAACCACUUUGUGGUUUUAACCCUGCUGAGGAAGCGGGCCAGCACGUGCAACUCGUGUAAGAGGUGUUUCGGGUUGAUCAGUUGUCUGGAGGGUUGGCCAUCUGCUCUCUCCCUCCCUCUUGGCUGCUGCCCUCACCUGUGGAGACCCACUGGUGGGGUGCAAAGACUUGGGGGGAACCUGGCACCUCUUCUCCUCUUCUCUGGGAGUGAGAGCCCCUGAUUAUGCUGAGACCUUUGCCUCUGCCAGCCCCAGGAGGACUGGGGACAUCACUGUUGAGAACUGAUGGUGUAAAUUUGCACGAGACAGGCUCACUGGGAAAGGAUGGUUUAACCCCCGGAAUUUCAGCAGGUACAUGAUGUGCCUAUAGAAGCAAAUCUCCAUUUCUAAGUUUUUUUCUCAUCCCAGAGCGGCACAGCACAGCUCAGUGCCAUGCCCGGCUCUCUGCUUACACCUUCUGGGUCACCGCUGUUAUAGGAAGGUGAUGACUGGAGGUGUUGGAGCUCAUUAAUGGCUUUGAGCAAGUUAAUUGGUAUAAACACAACAGUGGGAGAUGUGGCGGCUCUGCAAAGGGGAGCGUGCCCGGCUCUGAGGCGGGAUUGAGCAGAGGUCCCGUGUCUGGGUGGAUGAUUGGACCCCGGUAACUGAGUUCAGGCUCUCGGGACCACGUUCCCCUCACUGCAGCGUGGACAUGGGCUGCACCUCAGUGUGUGU